rnacentral:rRNA from 1 species
UUAAGCGACUAAGCGUACACGGUGGAUGCCCUGGCAGUCAGAGGCGAUGAAGGACGUGCUAAUCUGCGAUAAGCGUCGGUAAGGUGAUAUGAACCGUUAUAACCGGCGAUUUCCGAAUGGGGAAACCCAGUGUGAUUCGUCACACUAUCAUUAACUGAAUCCAUAGGUUAAUGAGGCGAACCGGGGGAACUGAAACAUCUAAGUACCCCGAGGAAAAGAAAUCAACCGAGAUUCCCCCAGUAGCGGCGAGCGAACGGGGAGGAGCCCAGAGCCUGAAUCAGUGUGUGUGUUAGUGGAAGCGUCUGGAAAGGCGCGCGAUACAGGGUGACAGCCCCGUACACAAAAAUGCACAUGCUGUGAGCUCGAUGAGUAGGGCGGGACACGUGGUAUCCUGUCUGAAUAUGGGGGGACCAUCCUCCAAGGCUAAAUACUCCUGACUGACCGAUAGUGAACCAGUACCGUGAGGGAAAGGCGAAAAGAACCCCGGCGAGGGGAGUGAAAAAGAACCUGAAACCGUGUACGUACAAGCAGUGGGAGCACGCUUAGGCGUGUGACUGCGUACCUUUUGUAUAAUGGGUCAGCGACUUAUAUUCUGUAGCAAGGUUAACCGAAUAGGGGAGCCGAAGGGAAACCGAGUCUUAACUGGGCGUUAAGUUGCAGGGUAUAGACCCGAAACCCGGUGAUCUAGCCAUGGGCAGGUUGAAGGUUGGGUAACACUAACUGGAGGACCGAACCGACUAAUGUUGAAAAAUUAGCGGAUGACUUGUGGCUGGGGGUGAAAGGCCAAUCAAACCGGGAGAUAGCUGGUUCUCCCCGAAAGCUAUUUAGGUAGCGCCUCGUGAAUUCAUCUCCGGGGGUAGAGCACUGUUUCGGCAAGGGGGUCAUCCCGACUUACCAACCCGAUGCAAACUGCGAAUACCGGAGAAUGUUAUCACGGGAGACACACGGCGGGUGCUAACGUCCGUCGUGAAGAGGGAAACAACCCAGACCGCCAGCUAAGGUCCCAAAGUCAUGGUUAAGUGGGAAACGAUGUGGGAAGGCCCAGACAGCCAGGAUGUUGGCUUAGAAGCAGCCAUCAUUUAAAGAAAGCGUAAUAGCUCACUGGUCGAGUCGGCCUGCGCGGAAGAUGUAACGGGGCUAAACCAUGCACCGAAGCUGCGGCAGCGACGCUGAUGCGUUGUUGGGUAGGGGAGCGUUCUGUAAGCCUGCGAAGGUGUGCUGUGAGGCAUGCUGGAGGUAUCAGAAGUGCGAAUGCUGACAUAAGUAACGAUAAAGCGGGUGAAAAGCCCGCUCGCCGGAAGACCAAGGGUUCCUGUCCAACGUUAAUCGGGGCAGGGUGAGUCGACCCCUAAGGCGAGGCCGAAAGGCGUAGUCGAUGGGAAACAGGUUAAUAUUCCUGUACUUGGUGUUACUGCGAAGGGGGGACGGAGAAGGCUAUGUUGGCCGGGCGACGGUUGUCCCGGUUUAAGCGUGUAGGCUGGUUUUCCAGGCAAAUCCGGAAAAUCAAGGCUGAGGCGUGAUGACGAGGCACUACGGUGCUGAAGCAACAAAUGCCCUGCUUCCAGGAAAAGCCUCUAAGCAUCAGGUAACAUCAAAUCGUACCCCAAACCGACACAGGUGGUCAGGUAGAGAAUACCAAGGCGCUUGAGAGAACUCGGGUGAAGGAACUAGGCAAAAUGGUGCCGUAACUUCGGGAGAAGGCACGCUGAUAUGUAGGUGAAGUCCCUCGCGGAUGGAGCUGAAAUCAGUCGAAGAUACCAGCUGGCUGCAACUGUUUAUUAAAAACACAGCACUGUGCAAACACGAAAGUGGACGUAUACGGUGUGACGCCUGCCCGGUGCCGGAAGGUUAAUUGAUGGGGUUAGCGCAAGCGAAGCUCUUGAUCGAAGCCCCGGUAAACGGCGGCCGUAACUAUAACGGUCCUAAGGUAGCGAAAUUCCUUGUCGGGUAAGUUCCGACCUGCACGAAUGGCGUAAUGAUGGCCAGGCUGUCUCCACCCGAGACUCAGUGAAAUUGAACUCGCUGUGAAGAUGCAGUGUACCCGCGGCAAGACGGAAAGACCCCGUGAACCUUUACUAUAGCUUGACACUGAACAUUGAGCCUUGAUGUGUAGGAUAGGUGGGAGGCUUUGAAGUGUGGACGCCAGUCUGCAUGGAGCCGACCUUGAAAUACCACCCUUUAAUGUUUGAUGUUCUAACGUGGACCCGUAAUCCGGGUUGCGGACAGUGUCUGGUGGGUAGUUUGACUGGGGCGGUCUCCUCCUAAAGAGUAACGGAGGAGCACGAAGGUUGGCUAAUCCUGGUCGGACAUCAGGAGGUUAGUGCAAUGGCAUAAGCCAGCUUGACUGCGAGCGUGACGGCGCGAGCAGGUGCGAAAGCAGGUCAUAGUGAUCCGGUGGUUCUGAAUGGAAGGGCCAUCGCUCAACGGAUAAAAGGUACUCCGGGGAUAACAGGCUGAUACCGCCCAAGAGUUCAUAUCGACGGCGGUGUUUGGCACCUCGAUGUCGGCUCAUCACAUCCUGGGGCUGAAGUAGGUCCCAAGGGUAUGGCUGUUCGCCAUUUAAAGUGGUACGCGAGCUGGGUUUAGAACGUCGUGAGACAGUUCGGUCCCUAUCUGCCGUGGGCGCUGGAGAACUGAGGGGGGCUGCUCCUAGUACGAGAGGACCGGAGUGGACGCAUCACUGGUGUUCGGGUUGUCAUGCCAAUGGCACUGCCCGGUAGCUAAAUGCGGAAGAGAUAAGUGCUGAAAGCAUCUAAGCACGAAACUUGCCCCGAGAUGAGUUCUCCCUGACUCCUUGAGAGUCCUGAAGGAACGUUGAAGACGACGACGUUGAUAGGCCGGGUGUGUAAGCGCAGCGAUGCGUUGAGCUAACCGGUACUAAUGAACCGUGAGGCUUAACCUU